UACAGAGGUCCCAAGCGUUGUUCGGAUUCAUUGGGCGUAAAGGGUGCGUAGGCGGCGGGGUAAGUCAGGUGUGAAAUCUCGGGGCUCAACCCCGAAACUGCACUUGAUACUGCCUUGCUCGAGUACUGGAGAGGAGAUUGGAAUUUACGGUGUAGCAGUGAAAUGCGUAGAUAUCGUAAGGAAGACCAGUGGCGAAGGCGAAUCUCUGGACAGUUACUGACACUGAGGCACGAAGGCCAGGGGAGCAAACGGG
rnacentral:rRNA from 1 species